rnacentral:rRNA from 1 species
AUUGAACGCGGGCGGCAGGCUUAACACAUGCAAGUCGAGCGGGGUGAUGGUGCUUGCACUAUCACUUAGCGGCGGACGGGUGAGUAAUGCUUAGGAAUCUGCCUAUUAGUGGGGGACAACAUCUCGAAAGGGAUGCUAAUACCGCAUACGUCCUACGGGAGAAAGCAGGGGAUCACUUGUGACCUUGCGCUAAUAGACGAGCCUAAGUCGGAUUAGCUAGUUGGUGGGGUAAAGGCCUACCAAGGCGACGAUCUGUAGCGGGUCUGAGAGGAUGAUCCGCCACACUGGGACUGAGACACGGCCCAGACUCCUACGGGAGGCAGCAGUGGGGAAUAUUGGACAAUGGGGGGAACCCUGAUCCAGCCAUGCCGCGUGUGUGAAGAAGGCCUUAUGGUUGUAAAGCACUUUAAGCGAGGAGGAGGCUCUUUUGGUUAAUACCCAAGAUGAGUGGACGUUACUCGCAGAAUAAGCACCGGCUAACUCUGUGCCAGCCGCCGCGGUAA